GACGAACGCUGGCGGCGUGCCUAAUACAUGCAAGUUGAGCGCUGAAGGUUGGUACUUGUACCGACUGGAUGAGCAGCGAACGGGUGAGUAACGCGUGGGGAAUCUGCCUUUGAGCGGGGGACAACAUUUGGAAACGAAUGCUAAUACCGCAUAAAAACUUUAAACACAAGUUUUAAGUUUGAAAGAUGCAAUUGCAUCACUCAAAGAUGAUCCCGCGUUGUAUUGGCUAGUUGGUGAGGUAAAGGCUCACCAAGGCGAUGAUACAUAGCCGACCUGAGAGGGUGAUCGGCCACAUUGGGACUGAGACACGGCCCAAACUCCUACGGGAGGCAGCAGUAGGGAAUCUUCGGCAAUGGACGAAAGUCUGACCGAGCAACGCCGCGUGAGUGAAGAAGGUUUUCGGAUCGUAAAACUCUGUUGGUAGAGAAGAACGUUGGUGAGAGUGGAAAGCUCAUCAAGUGACGGUAACUACCCAGAAAGGGACGGCUAACUACGUG
rnacentral:rRNA from 1 species